GUUGGGCGGCCCUCCUCCUCUGGGCUAUCGCUACGGUGGCCAAGUCACUAGAUCGAUCGCGACGCGCUGUGAUCUUGUUGGCUGUUUUCGGUAAAAGACAUGCCAUCUAGUUUCUGGUGAUUUUUUGUUAUUUUCUUAAUGGAGGGCAGGGAAGGAAAAAAUAAGGAAAAAAUACGUGUUUAUACAGCCGCCCCUUGGUAUGUAAACAUGUGUUGGGCACCGGUGACAAGUGGCUCUCCUGGCAACCCGAGUGACGCGACACAGCCGUAGAAAAGUACAAGUAUUUUAUUUUCGAGUGCAGUUCAUCCACUGUGGGUGAGAUUCUCCUGUCUUAGCCUUCAGUUUCAGUUUCCUGAGUUAAAUUUCGGAUGAGAUAGAGAUUUCUCAACUUUAAAUUUCCCCAGCCUUGGGAAAGAAUUGAGGUUCCCAGUAUGUAGAUAAGGAGGGCGCGAAGGGAAAACAAGUGAGCAUCGCACUUCGUCAGGCUGCCUCACCUGAUUGACUAAAAAAAAAAAAAAGGAUCACAGACGCAGGCCGACACUCAGUUCCUGCCGCCAUGUCCCUGGAAAUCCACGUCGCCAGGGCCUCCAACCUGCAGAACCUCGAGAAUUUCGGCAAAAGCGACCCUUAUGUCACCGUCGACUUCCAAGGCGA